GACGAACGCUGGCGGCGUGCUUAACACAUGCAAGUCGAACGGAAAGGCCCUGCUUUUGUGGGGUGCUCGAGUGGCGAACGGGUGAGUAACACGUGAGUAACCUGCCCUUGACUUUGGGAUAACUUCAGGAAACUGGGGCUAAUACCGGCUAGGAGCUCCUGCUGCAUGGUGGGGGUUGGAAAGUUUCGGCGGUUGGGGAUGGACUCGCGGCUUAUCAGCUUGUUGGUGGGGUAGUGGCUUACCAAGGCUUGGACGGGUAGCCGGCCUGAGAGGGUGACCGGCCACAUUGGGACGGAGAUACGGCCCAGACUCCUACGGGAGGCAGCAGUGGGGAAGAGUGCACAAUGGGCGGAAGCCUGAUGCAGCAACGCCGCGUGCGGGAUGACGGCAUUCGGGUUGUAAACCGCUUUCGCCUGUGACGAAGCGUGAGUGACGGUAAUGGGUAAAGAAGCACCGGCUAACUACGUG
rnacentral:rRNA from 1 species